CGGCGUGCCUAACACAUGCAAGUCGUACAAGAAAGUCGGCUUCGGCUGAUGAGUAAAGUGGCGCACGGGUGAGUAACGCGUGGAUAAUCUGCCCUUGAGUGUGGAAUAACGUACCGAAAGGUGCGCUAAUACCGCAUAAUGCCUGGCAACACAAGUUGUCCGGCCAAAGAAAGGCCUCUGUUUACUAAGCUUUUGCUCAAGGAUGAGUCCGCGUACCAUUAGCUAGUUGGUGGGGUAACGGCCUACCAAGGCUACGAUGGUUAGCUGGUCUGAGAGGAUGAUCAGCCACACUGGAACUGAGACACGGUCCAGGACUCCUACGGGAGGCAGCAGUGAGGAAUAUUGCGCAAUGGGGGCAACCCUGACGCAGCAACGCCGCGUGAGUGAGGAAGGUUUUCGGACUGUAAAGCUCUGUCGAGCGGGAAGAAAUGUAUCAUGGCUAAUAUCCAUGAUACUUGACGGUACCGCUAAAGGAAGCACCGGCUAACUCCGUG
rnacentral:rRNA from 1 species